GAUGUCAGGAUUCAUGUGCUUCCUUGAAGAACAUCAAGCCUAUGAAAGAGGAUGUGCUUCACCAAAGACCAAAAUUGAAGAUAGUAACAUGCAAAGACAAAACAGUAUCUCAGAACACACAUGCUUCUGGCAAGCACAUGAAGCCUGCCAUCAUAAUCAAAGAUUCUCUU